rnacentral:rRNA from 1 species
CGGAGGUAACACGUAUCCGAACCUGCCGCUUACUCGGGGAUAGCCUUUCGAAAGAAAGAUUAAUACCCGAUGGUAUAAAGAGUUCGCAUGUUCUCUUUAUUAAAGAAUUUCGGUAAGCGAUGGGGAUGCGUUCCAUUAGAUAGUUGGCGGGGUAACGGCCCACCAAGUCUACGAUGGAUAGGGGUUCUGAGAGGAAGGUCCCCCACAUUGGAACUGAGACACGGUCCAAACUCCUACGGGAGGCAGCAGUGAGGAAUAUUGGUCAAUGGACGAGAGUCUGAACCAGCCAAGUAAGCGUGAAGGAUGACUGCCCUAUGGGUUGUAAACUUCUUUUAUAAGGGAAUAAAGUGAGGGACGUGUCCCUUUUUGUAUGUACCUUAUGAAUAAGGAUCGGCUAACUCCGUGCCAGCCGCAGC